GUGGAACGCAACCGGAAGUUGUGAUUUGGAACGCAGAACAUUACCGGACGGAUUACCAGCUGAUCUUAGCCGCGAAUUUUAAGGUGGCGAUCACCUGGAAAAUAUUGUUUCUAUUGAAGAGGGACUGCCUACAAAGGAACUCUCCAAUCAACAAUCGGACUGGUUAUAUUUAAGGGACUCUGUUGGGGGUGGGAUUAUGCAUGCUUUGUAUUUG